UAGAAUAGCACACAUACAUGAUACACCUAAUCCAAUAAAUAUCAACUCCUAAGUAGCUUGAGUUUAGGGUUGCAAAAUUCCCAGGUUUUCCAGAAAUCCUGGUUGGAUGAUUCCCAGAUUCUCUGUUUAUUCCCUCCUGAUUCCAGGAAACUUCCAACCGGGAUUUCAGGAACAUUUUGUGAAAGUUACCGAAAAUGUGCAACCCUUCGUUGAGUUCAAACAGUUAAUCACAUAACCUUUUAGAGAUAUUAAAGUAUAACCCAUUAUUAUCCUUGUAAAAUAUAACCCAUUAUUACCCUUGUAAAAUAUAACCCAUUAUUACCCUUGUAAAAUAUAACCCGUUAUUACCCUUGUAAAGUACAACCCAUUAUUAUCCUUGUAAAGUAUACCCCAUUAUUAUCCUUGUAAAAUAUAACCCAUUAUUAUCCGUGUAAAAUAUAACCCAUUAUUAUCCGUGUAAAAUAUAACCCAUUAUUAUCCUUGUAAAAUAUAACCCAUUAUUAUCCUUGUAUAAAAGCAUAUGUGGCUAAAAGCACCAGUCAGUAUUAUUUACCCAGGGAGAGUUGGAAGCAGCAAGAAUACAAUGGUUUGUCAUUCUCAAAAUGUCCAGUAGAGAGCGCCAUAUCAUAAAUCUCUCCCAUUCCCCACAUACUGUAUCAGCCAUCCAUCCAGACAUUCCCCACAUACUGUAUCAGCCAUCCAUCCAGACAUUUCCCCACAUACUGUAUCAGCCAUCCAUCCAGACAUCUCUCCCAUUGCCCACAUACUGUAUCAGACAUCCUUCCAGACAUUCCCCACAUACUGUAUCAGCCAUCCAUCCAGACAUUCCCCACAUACUGUAUCAGCCAUCCAUCCAGACAUUCCCCACAUACUGUAUCAGCCAUCCAUCCAGACAUCUCUCCCAUUCCCCACAUACUGUAUCAGCCAUCCAUCCAGACAUCUCUCCCAUUCCCCACAUACUGUAUCAGCCAUCCAUCCAGACAUCUCUCCCAUUCCCCACAUACUGUAUCAGCCAUCCAGACAUCUCUCCCACAUACUGUAUCAGCCAUCCAUCCAGACAUUCCCCACAUACUGUAUCAGCCAUCCAUCCAGACAUUCCCCACAUACUGUAUCAACCAUCCAUCCAGACAUCUCUCCCAUUCCCCACAUACUGUAUCAGCCAUCCAUCCAGACAUCUCUCCCAUUCCCCACAUACUGUAUCAGCCAUCCAUACAGACAUCUCUCCCAUUCCCCACAUACUGUAUCAGCCAUCCAUCCAGACAUCUCUCCCAUUCCCCACAUACUGUAUCAGCCAUCCAGACAUCCUGCCAUUCCCCACAUACUGUAUCAGCCAUCCAUCUCUCACUCUGUUAGUAGCCUAUGUUUAGGUGUGGCAGUCUCCAUCCAUCUCUCACUCUG
rnacentral:lncRNA from 8 species